GGAACAGCCUGCAGCUGGACCUCGCGGGAUGGCAGCAUGGUGGUGGAUAUGGCUGAUGAAAGACGCUGGAGGAGGAGGAAGAUGGCAAGAAGCGUCGUUCACUGGAAUGCAUGUACUGGAACGCACGCUCACGUCUUCUGCUGGAGGGACCUCUGCCAAGGGAGAACAUCACUUCUGAGGAACUGCUGGUUCAAAUUGCCACUUAAUCUCUUCAAAUUGGCUUUCGUGUACACCCGUGGCACACGGACCUCAGCAGUCUGGUGCAGAGCUCUGUGCAGUGCAGCCUGAGGAGAUGCUCUAAAACCUCACCUUGGCUGCACUGAAAAGUGUGGCAAGAGAUGCAGAAUAAUGCCUGACACCUCGAAUGGCAUGCAUCGGGGCUAUUACAUGAUGAAUGGCUGUGUCUUGGGAAUUGGAAGUCAUGGGUGAUAGCUUUAUGGGAGCAGACAAGACUUCUGGAUGUAUAAAGAAAGAAGGACAUAACUCUGAAUUUAUACAAGCCAUAUUUAUUGUAAAACCCUAAUGAAGGUUAAUGCUUUGACCCCAAGGAAGGUGGUGUGCAUUUGCAAUGAAGCUCUGGGAUGCCUCCCUUGUUGAUGGCACACAGAAGCUUGGCAAAUUUGGACUGGGAGAUGGACAUUGUUAUAUGCCAGUGAGCAGCCUGGCUGCUGCCAUCACAGCGCUGGGACCUUGCGGAGUUCCCUGUGAAGGCUGUAUUUGUUUUCUCUUAUGACUUUGGUGUUGAUGAUGAACAAUGGCAUUCUACCAAGUGUGGCAGAUACCACCUGUGGAUGAGCUGCGUUUUGAAGAGGAAAACCCUCCCAAGCGUUGCUCUGUUCUGCAGUGAAGUUUCACUGAUCUGGAACUUCAGGUGCUUCGUCCCCUGGUUUGCUGAUUUGCUGCUACUUGCUGUUUCUGAUUUUCUUUCUACAACAAUGUAUUGGGAACACAGUAUAUGGCUUCUUGAAGGUUAGUACUGAGCAGACAAACCACUUCUGUGCAAAAGGGACUUCUGAUACACAGCAGUGUUGUAGACAUGGAAAAUAUGGUGUGUCUGUACAAACACACGUACAUGCAAACACAUCAUUUAACGCUGCUGUGGCUUCAGAAGCACCCUGUGCCUCCCCAGAAGCCUUUCCAGAGGCAGCGGCUCAGUCCCGUUAUCUUGUGUUCUGCUGCAGAAGGGACAUUCACAGAAGAAGCCACAAGGAAAAUCCCAUCGUGAGCCCCAAAGACACCUUCAUCUCUGCGUCUAUGCAGCUCUAGCCUGUGGCUGCUCUGUGGCUGUCCUGAGCAUGCGAUGCUGGUGAGGUAUUUGAGCACGCACUUGUGCAAUGCCUCUAGUUCCUCCCUGCGUGCCUCCACGCAGGCUGUGCUGUGAGUUUUACUUUUCUUGUUUAUUUUGGUUGUACCUGUAUGUUCUCCUGCAGAUUCAAAGCUCCGAAGAAGCUGCACCGACCGCCUGUCUUGGCAUGACUGUCUGCUGCUGAAUUUGCUGGAGAAAUUAGAACUUGUCUUGCAGAAGAUGGACUCACUGGUUUUAUUAAUAUUGCAAAAUAGCUAGCUUUGACAAGCAGCCAAGAGUGGAGCUAGUCCCUUUCCCAGCCACAGGUUGUCUCAUAGUGAACCCUUCUUUCACUUGGCAGUGCACUGCAAAUGUGAGAACCAUGCCUCCUCCUGCCAUAGCUCUCACGUUACUCUCAUCUCCACCACGCUGUCCAACUCAGCUUAGCUGAGCGUGGAAGCUGCCUCCUCACCCAAGUAAGCACUGCUUACCCAGGUGUGCCCGGCUGGAUGAGGGAGGGGGACGCCCAACAUCCUGAUGGCAGACAGAUCCCACAGCAAACUGUGUCUGUCAUAGGAGGUGCGAUGAGCCACUUAUGUUGGCCAGAUGUCUCACGGUUGGUUGAGAUGACCCUUCCCCUCUCUCUGAAGGGACACAACUUGGCUUUUCUACAGCUCCAGGUAGAGGAAAAGCACCACUGGCUGCAAGAACUGGGUGAGUAAUUUGUGAUGAAUAAUUCAUGUGAGCAAUGUUGCCUUUUUUCCGGAAUGUGAGCUGUCUGUAGGAAAAGGCUAGGUUUUUCCCAUAGAAACUUCUUAUUUGGAAACAUUUAUUGAACAGUCUCUGAAAAAAGAACAUCUUGGUCUGCAGCUUAUUAGUGAGUUGUUUGUUGUGAGUGUUUGAUAGUCCAAACCCAGACUGCCUUGCAUGCCUGCAUACAGCUCACAUGGGCAUGACUAAAGUCAGAGGGAGCCCAAGGUGGCCCAUGCAGUGUCGUCUUCUCAGGAUCAGGUUUCUCCCACACUUGCACCCAGGUGCAGGUAGCCAUUGUGCUUCAAUAUUGGGCUCAGAAUUGGUCAGUUUGAAAAACAAAUCAAUUAAUUGCCAGCGUCCUCCUGUAACAGGCACAAGUGAGCUUCAGGCAGCAUCCACAUAAACUCAGAAUUGUUGUACAGGUUACAGAGUUUAAAAGGUUUUGUGAAAUCAUCCUCUGGGACAGAGGAGACAGGACAGCGUUAUAUGUACAGGACUUAAAUUAUGUGGAAUACUUCUUUUUAAAGCACUUUUCCAAUUUCUAAGCACAGUCACCGCUUUCUUUCCGUGCUUCUACACCAGUCCUGCUCUUCCCCGCUUUAAUUGUACUGACUGGUUUUACUGUUGACUCCAAACCCUUGGAGCAGUCAGAAGAAAGUGAGCACUCAGACAUGUGAGUGGACCUGGCCUGCAGCUCCCACCCAUGCCAGUGAAAGGGCCUUGCUGGGAAUUGUGGGGAAUGGAGCUCCUGAGCCAUCCAGACCACCCUAGAGAGCUGUGGUAUUGUCUUGCAAUUCCAUUUUUGGUCAUUUUUCAGCUCACUAAUUCUUAUUUUCCUGGUAGGCUGUCUCACCUUGCUGUUUUGAGGACUGGAAACCUUUUAUGACUGGUGAGACGGAGGCUGUAUCUUUAGGCACCAUCCCUUGGAAUGUCUGGCCCUGCAAGCAUGACUCCUCCAGCUGUCCCUAUCUCUUUUAUUCAGGAGCCCUUUGGCACUUUCUAAAUCUCCCUCAUUCUUACGGACCUUUCCAAGGGGACCUUGACUGGUGGAAUAUGUCAGACUGCUUGCCAGCCACAACCUAACUGCAGUGACACUUUGCAGCUCUUGCAAGGAGGCUGUAACUACAUGUGGAACACAGCUGAUUCAGCUAACCUGGUCAAGGUUAAUGUCACAGAGAUACCAUGAAGGGAAGAUGGUCCCUGUGAGCUCAGUGGCACUGUGGCAUCAUUCCCCUUCCAGACAGUAAAUGAGAGUAGUCCCUUCUGAGAGCAGCAGCUAGGGGAGUUGAGAGCAGAUCUCCAGGUUGCACUCAUCCAGCCUGAGUCAGUCAGGGCUCUGUUGUAGUGGGUUUGCUGAUAUAGUUGUCCAAAUUUGACCAAAACAGUGUAGAUAACACUCUGUUUUAGCUGUUGCUGAGCAGUGCUUGUGUACCAAGCAGGCUGGGGUGCACAAGGAGCUGGGGGGGGGGGGGGAAACGACGCAAUCAGGACAGCUGAGCUCUGCUGACCAGAGGGAUAUCCCAUAGUGUGAGAUGUGCUCAGUUCGUGGAAAGAAGGAGGAAGAGGGGAUGGUCAGUGUGUUUGUUUUCCAAGUCCCCAUGACAUGUGAUGGUAGUGGCUGAACACCUGUCUGUUGAUAGGAGGGAAGGAAUAAAUUCCUGACUUCGCUUUGUUUGUGCAUGCAGCUUUCGCUUCCUUUAUCAAACUGUCUUUAUCUCAAUUUAUGAGUUUUUGCACUUCUGCCCUUCCCAUUCUCUCCCUCAAGUAAUGGGGGAUAUCUACCCACACCUAUACUGAGCAUGGAGGAUGUGUCAGCUUUUGUGCCCCAGCAGACCAGGGUCCUGCAGCACAUCCUGGAGUUCAGAUCUCAAACCAUCCCUCCUGCCUUGCUAUCAAGCACUUCCAGAUCCAGGCUUUUGGCUCCUGCUGAGCUUGCCUGCAAGUGGAGGGUGAUGUCCUUAAAUACAGAGAGGGCUGAGAAUUUUUUUGGUGGAGUUAAGGCAUCCACAUCCAAGGAAGGUCUGGAAAAUGGAAGGGGAAUGAAGCCUGCCUGUGAGGCUGUGCAGAUAGCCACGGCUCAGCAGUGUGUUCCAGCCACAGAGCACUAAGCCAUGACAGGAGGCUGGCGUGGGAUCAUCGUAGAUUAUUAGUGCCUCCUGCUUUAUAAGCGAAGCUCUGGGGGAGGAAAUAUGUAGUGAAGUGAAACUGGUGAUUGUACAGGCACGCCAGCGAUUAAGGUUGAAGUGGGUGGGCAGUCUGUGGGGGCUGGUGUGUUAACUCCAGCCAAGGAGAGGCACAGGCUUUCCAAUCUCUGCUAUCUCAGUUUCAGCGCUGCAGACAACCCAUCGGGGUGUCAUUAACAAGCAGUUACUUCACUCUCGUUGCUGUGCUUUAAGGAAAUAUGUCAAAGGCAUUUCUGGUGAGCAAGGGCUCGGUGCGAUCAGAUUGCUCGAGCCUUCUCACAGCAUUCCAUUCAGAUUAUAAUACACAAUAGUUCAGACCCUGCUGUGUCCCAUUACUCAAUUAUGAAAUUGCUUUAGAAGUUGGGAGCUUACUGAUUGGCUCUGAAUGAUUUCAUACCCAUCAUAUUUCUGUGUGUUUGUGCUCUUGGGCUGAUUGCUCGUUCUUGUUGGUUCAAGCCGCUUCACUCUUCACUUUCAUGCACGAGAAUGUGUUUUAUGCUUUCCCAUAUCACUAAAAAAAAUUACCACUCAGCGUGCUUCGUCUCUUCAGGUAGGUGGCAGAGGCACAAACGACCCUUGAGGUCAGUUGCUGUGGGUUUGGAACCUGAAUGUAAUUGCACAGCAGCAAGGAGAACUUGGAAUAUGUGGCGAAGUGAAUGACACACUGAAUCCUCAAGCUUUUACCCACUAAGAAUCACAACCAGUAGGCAUCAUCAGCCUAUAUAAAAUUUAACUUUGUUCACAGACUGUAUGGAAGAAGCAAGGAAAAGGUUAUAUUGACUGUUCAGGUAUGAUUUGCUUUUGUGGAUCCCCCUUAUGCCUUGCGGGGAUUUUACACCUGCUUGAACUAACCCCAAGCCCCUGAAACCUGAAUGCAUGCUAUUUGAUUCUUCAGAACAGCCAGUUUGUUGGUAUCCCAUGCAAAAAUGAAGCGAACAAAAACAGACUGGGCCACUCAGCUCAUGCAUCCUUAGGACCUGUUUGUAUCCAUCCAAGGAGAGCUGAAGCAAGGUCCUGUUCUAAAUUAAAAGAAUGUUACAUGCUCUGGUUUGGAGAGCCAAAAUAAACUCAGUCUUUGAACUUUCCUCAAACUAACUGCAAGCGAUCACUUUGGGCACCUAUUGUUAUUAGCAGUGUCGGUUUUCAGAAACAUUUUGUACCAAUCAAAGUGAAAAAAGCUGGGGCUGAUGGACUGAUGGCACGCGGAAUUGCCAGGGCCUAUUAGAACGAUACCACUGACGUCUUCUAAGGAGGUGCUGAGCUUACCAAUUUCCUUUGUAGAAAAUGUCCUUGGUAUGCAAUUAAUAGUUUUCUCUCUUCUUCAUCAAUAAAGGAAUGUGACUCAGCAUCACAGUGUACUGCCUGGGAGGCUGGACGUGUUUAGGAGCCCUGUGCAUGGCCAAGCAACUGGAUGCCAUUGACGUGGUGCUCGAGCCUUGAUCUGCUGUUCAAAGGGGAGAGACUUCUUAAGAAAAAGCCUGAACUGUGGUAGUCCCUUAAGAGUUUCUCCUGGGCCAAAUACUGAAAUCCUCUCUAGGUUAAUUCCUCGCUGGAGACAUUCAGAGGGUUGCACAAGUCAAAAUGAAAUGAAGGCACUGGAUCUGUCUGGCUUGUUUUUAGGGAAUAAUUUAUUUCCCAGAAUCAGCAUUUACGAUUUUUUUUUUUCCCCUUCAGAUCAGACCACCAGCAGGUUUGUUUCACCCUCUAGGUGUUGUCAGGGAAUUACUGGAAAGCAGCACGGCUUUCUAUACCUUUGAUGCUCUUAAAAUUAUAGCCCCUUUUCCCAACACAGAGAUGUAGCUAGAAGAUCUGUGAAAGGUUUUAGCUCACGUUUCCAAGAAAGAACCACUAAUUUUUUGAUGAGUUAAGGCUUUGGCAACAGCAGUGGGAUUCUCUCACCUGCCAGCAGAUAAGAAUCAUUGUAAAUGUUCACCAUUCUGGGCUAUGCUAUCUAGCCAGUUGAAAAGCCAGUAGUGUGCCAUCUGAAUUUUCCCCUUUCAGAAUUUCCAUUGAACGUGGUCGUUCUGACAAUCUGCCAUUCCACUAGCACAAAAAGGUGCUUAUCUUGCAAAGUUAUUUCAUUUAUAUUAACUCAUUGUGUUUACUUAUUUAAAUAUUCUCUGCAGAUGAGACAUAUGGCAAAUGCUGGCCAACUUAGUCUCAGCUGCUUCUCAGAUCCAGAUGCUAAUAUCAUUUCAUAACUUGGCUUGUGCAGUUCAGAUCUGUACCAAAAGAUUCUGUUUUGAAUUACCAUUAUAUUUGAUAUUAAUACUAAGCAUACUCACAGCUGUCCUACAUUGCUAUUUCCACCCUCACUGGGAUUCGGAUCUCAGACAGAGAACAUAACACUCUUCCAUGUCUGCCUCUCAGGCUUUUACAUCUAUCCUGGGCUCACAGUGUAUUGUCUGCAGCAGAGUAUGCACUAAUUACCUCUGCAUCGUACCUAGCUUAGGGGCUUGAUGGCCUUUCUGGGGUCAGGUCUAACCUGGGUGGUUUUUCCAGCACUGUAGUAGUGAUCUUUAACAGGGCAGUCCAGAAAAGACUGACAUGUUGAUUGUUGAGUCUCCAAGGGCAUUUGGGACUGGAUUUCUGAAGUGUUUAGUCACCUGAAGAUGAGGAAUGGUAUCUAAUGGGAUUUUCCAAACCACACUGGGCUCAGAUCCUCAGUGGUAUUAAAUGUCUUUGUCUCGGUGAAGCUCAUGGGAGUGAAGCAGCCAAGCAUGCUGAGGGUGUGGAUGUCCAUGCCCUGUACUCUUUGACAACAUCUGCACAGUCUGUAAGAGCAUCAACACCUUUAUGAGUCUGGAGAAGCCAGCCCAGCCCCAGAAGCUGAGCACAGGACUUCCCUGAGCUGUGGGGAAUGUGCUCACACCUUGCCCCUAGUCUGGCAGAUGCACAGAGAUGAAAUGUUCCCAGCUUUGCAUGGAGUCCAUGCCCACCCUCAGCUAUGGUACUCACUGGGGGAACAGGGGGUGCAAGGAGUAAACCUUACAGCCUGCUAAGGGCAGAACUGGACCAGCUGAGCCUGGGUAAACAUCCGCGUUGCUGGGAAUGGCACUUCAGUCACUUCUAUGACUCAAGUAUUUUCUUUUUCCCACAGAGCCAGUGUCACUAUGGAGAGGAGUAAGAUUAAACAACCCAAUUCCUUGUGCCCGCUGAGUAUGGCUGAGCAACACCUGUGUGUCCGUGGCCAGAAAUUUGCCCUGGGCACGUGAUUCCUUAGCACAAGAGCAGGAUGUAGGCUGCUGCUAAGGAGCAGGUCAGCACUUGAGAAGGAGUCACGUGCCUACUCUCACUGAAAGCUAAAUAUUUCUGUUGGUGACAAUCUAGCUUACCACCUUUUACAGCAGAAAACAGGAGAAAGGCUGUAAAUCCAACGUAACCUCACCUGGCCUCUCAGGAGCCAGCACGGUGGUGGUAGGACUCAGGCUGGGGAACAUCCUGGGUGCCGUUCGGGUUGUGAGUGGGUUGGCAUCCUUGGCACGAGCCCAUUCAAAAGCAGCAGGCACAGCCCUGGCCCCAGCAGUGAAAUGUCCUGGCCAGAUGUGUGCUUGAGGAGCACCUCGCCUGGGUGUUUUCCAAGGUACACCAAGAUGCAUGCUGCGCAGCGAGAGUCAGCGCCUCUCCCUCCAUCUUCUGCUUUCUCCUCAGAGAGGAUUGGAGUUUAUUUAAUCUCAGAUUUCUUGCUGAAAAACGCUCAGUGAGCAUGAAAUGCCUUUGAACUCUGGGAGCAUUGCUACUGCCUGUAAUAAGGCUGGGUAGAGGGAGACAGCCGCUUCCGUUGCUAUUCCAAACACAUCUGCACAACGCACUUCAGGAAGCACUGAAACGUCCCCGCAGCCCCGGCCCCUUCUGUAGGUGCGGGAGGAUGAAGGGCACUGCGUGAGACCCGCACACCAUCGGCACACAGCACGCAACGGGGGCAAAUAGCUGAGCUUCGUAUGAAAGUAUUUCAGCCUAGACAACAAUCAGCUGCAAGGAACUUGGAAUACGUCGGAAAGCGGAUAGCCAGGAAACCCUUUCCAUGAAGUGCAGAGAGGAUUUAGUUGCUGAGAGCUGCAAAGAUGCAUACAUUUUCCUAAAAAAACAUUCGCGGUGCCAACAUGAAGAUUCAGUGCAUUGUCAAAACAAGCCAAGAUUCUUAUUAAAACCAAUUGCUUUGGUUUGUUAGGCUACUUUACUAUGGUGUCUCUAAGCCAACAUAUGUAUUUGGGUUUAGAAGAGCUGUUGCAGCCAAACCUUAGGUGGCUGGAAAUGAAUGCGAGCUGAGCAGAUGCAGGGUAUCAUUUGCCCACUACUGUCCUUUUGAGGCUGCUUGAUGGUAUGUGGUAUGUCAGAUGUUGGCUUUCUCCUCUCUGAGAGCAGAUGGCUUGGUGAGGAAGCUGUGCAAUGCAUCUUUGUAUGAGGUAGGCAAGGCUGCGAGAACCCUAGGUGCAUCUCAUUUGCACAAACAGGAAUGUAACAGAAGAAAAUAAGAGAAAACAUAUAUGAUGUUUCUUGUAACGUGGAUUUCACAUGGCUGAAUGCUGUGAAUAAGAGAAUUUUGAAGAGAGAGGAGAUAUUUUUCAUUAGGCUGUUACGAUCCCCAAAAAGCUCGCAGAAGAAGACCUUGUGUGUCUAAAAGUUAGUCUGCUUUUUGGGAGGGCUAUAUUGGUCCAGCAAAAGACAUUAUCCCUCUCCUAUAUCCUUUAUCUCUUUUGCCCAUCAUGGCUACAGCAAUCCUAUGCUGGAAUAAGAAACCAAGGGGGUGUGCUUCUGCAGCGUGGAUCCUCUCUUCGUGGCAUCAGAGCAGAAGGAGAGUCCUUCCACCUGUGCCAAUGAUGACAGAUGGGGUAUGUGAAAUUGGCACUGGGGGUGAUGUUCUAACACAAGUAUUCAAUUAUUCUCUAGGCAAACCUAAAAAAAAAAAAAAAAACAACCUGAAGAUUUUUUGAAUGUACAUUUGAAGCCAGAAUUACAUUUCUACUUUAUAAUAUAUAUGGUAUUGGAAGAUUUGACUGUUUUAGCAGUGUGAGGUUAAAAAAAGAAACAGUUAAGUCUUCGAGGGGGUGUGCUAGAGAAGGCAAUUCUAUCUACUGCAGUGCUUCAAAGAUCAGGAAGCUGAGAUACCAGAAAUUUUCUUUUCCUAUUCCUUUAUUGAGCACCCCGGCUCACCCAUGAACACUGUGCUUUGUGACCCCAGUAACAUCCCAUAGUGAUAACGUAUUUCCUAAAAGGGCAUUUAAGAGAAAUGCAGGACGAUGCUGUAAGGUGUUGCUAACGGAAUAUCAUCUGCACCAGGCACUGGGAAGCGCUGCUGUGCUGACCCGCAGCCCUGGCUGUUGGGAUGGCUGGGUGCUGGCACUGAGCUGCAGAGGGGCACGCUGCUGGAGGAGGGAGGACGUGCCCGAGAUUCCCAUGCUCUGAGCAAGAGCUCAGGCUCAGCCUGCCUCCAGCGGGCUGCACUCGCACAUCUGAGCCUCAAGGCAAACUCCCAGCCCAGCUAUCAGACUCUUGGCAGCAAUUUCCACACGGGUUUGUUGUAUUUGGACUCGAGAUUCCCCCUUGACCCCAAAAGUCACACUAAAACGCUAAAAGUAUUUUCUUUACUUGCUAAAGAAAACACAGAGGACUUUAUUUAGUUAUUCAGAACUCCUCAGCCAUUCUUCGAUCACUUCAUGAUUUCCAGAGAUUGUAUCUGUGCUGUUGUCUGCCGGCUCGGGUCACUCCGAGCAGCUCGGAGGGGAAGGAAAGCUGCUACAUUUCAUUGUCCUCAAAAGAGGGGAGAAAAAUCCGACUCGCGUUCCCAAUCCAAACACCGCCGCUGCCUCGUGCAUUCUUGACAGCUAGCGAGGCUUCAUUGAGAACCGUUUGUAGCCUUUAGCUCCCUUCUAACAAGUUGGCCAUUGCCAUCGAGGAGAUUUUUUCUCAACUGAUUUAUGAGCUUUAAUUUAUAUGCGAGCCUGGAAUACUUGCUUUGGGAAGAGUUCUGCCACAAGCCAAGCUUGCACGGAGAUGCACAGCAAUUUGCAUGGUAUGUUCUGUACGCUCACCGUCCAGCCUGCAGCAGGCCAAAAAACCCCAGGUGAGGAGCACACGUGGUCGGAGGUGGUGCUGAGUGCUCCCUUCCCAACUGGUCUGCUGACUUAGGUUGGGAAGGUGAAUUUGUCAGGUGGAUUUAAGGGGUUUGGAAAGCCUCCACGUGACCCAGCAGACACAUUUUGGAAGUGUGAAAGCACUGCUAAAGCCUGGGCUCCCGUGUAGCCUGUGCACGGUCACAUGGCGGGGCUGGGAAAUUGUUUAACGGUGUCUCAACGGGUGGUAAUGGGAUUUUCCAAUCCUGAGCUGCCUCGGUGGAGUCCGGGUGUAGGUAGGAUUGUGCUGACUCCACCGUUUCCUUUGGAAGGGAUGGAGAAUGCUUGGCACUUCUUGCAUUGGGUCAGGAGCUCCUGACUUCUGGCUCCUUGGCCCAGACAUGUGAUGGGAGGUGUGUGCCCAAGCGUGGCUGCAGCCCUGUGUGUCCCUGAUGGGAGCACGCAAACUCAGCUGCUGCGUCACAGCCCAGGGCUGGUCUCCGGCUGAAGAACAGCGUGUUUUGUAGGUGCUUUAUUAAUUUCAUUGCUUGCAGCGCAGGAGGAACAUGCUUCUCACCUCUCCUCUGUAUCCAUUGGUUUUCUAUGACCACUUGUUGCAGUGUGACACUCCUACAAAUGGGCAAAUUGCCAGGAAAUCUGAAGACCUGUGUUAAAAUCACUGGAGUUUGGUGGAGCAAGGAACACGCUCGUUAUAUCCAGCCCUUCCUGCACUUUCAAAUACGAGUGGUAAUGCCCAGGAGAAGUGCCUGAUGGGUAGUGCUGCCCCAAGAGGAGAGGCAUUUCAUGCUGGGUCUAGAGGAGUAGGAGCUUCAGCUCUGUUGGGGUGGCUGAUACAUCCAUGGGCAGCCCUGAUGGGCAGCUGAUGGGAAAGAACUGGAAGGUUUCAGUUUCCAAGCAGAAGACGGUUUCUGCAGCAAGGCCUUUAGUGAACACCUUGAUUCUGCAAGGCAAGCAGGGUAGGUGGGGAGGUGUGCUUGCAAUGCACUGCUGCUUGGCCUUGAGCAGGUGGCUGGAGAAGUGGCAGUCCCACUAGCAUGGGGAGCUGUGGUUGGGGAAUUGGCAGCCCCGUGAGCACACAGAGCUUGGCGGUCACCCUCGCAGAGCUGCAAGCCAGCAGCAGCAGCGUGUGUACAGAGUUGCGGUUGUCUAAUCUUGACUGUUAUCAUUCAUCUACAUAACCUCAAGAUGCUUUAUCUAGCACACGGAGGUUGAGGUCUUGUUGCUGACUGCUGUGCUGGAAUAACAGACGGUGCUCUGAUAUGUGCUAUGCUGUCAGCAAAGCCCAGAUGGAUGCAAGUGGAUGAAGACAGCUCUCAUCCUCACAGACAGUUAAAUGCAAGCAACAUGUCCUUCUGUGCUUGGUUCUUUGCAGCAGGUUUGUUCAGCUCAGUGCCUCUGGUCAAUAGGUGCACCACCUCCACCACUUGCUGACAGAAUUAACAUCUAAUCAUUAAUUGCAUCUGAAGUUUGGAAGGACCCUACUACACUUGAGGAUCUCCUGUCAUUGGAGAGGUGGCUUUCUGACUGCAGGGUUCAUCAGAGCCCACUGAGUUACCCUGGCUAUGGGAGGACUCACUGAAGGACAGCUCUUCCAUGGAAAUCACCAUGAAGUCCAUGGGGCAGCCUAGAGGGGCACUCUCAGGUCCUGAGGAUGUGUGCAGACCUGAAAGGGAUCGCGUGAUGGGCAUCCCAGGAGGCUGGGAGUGUGAGUUUGGAUCCAAGCACCAGGGCUUACUCACACCCUGAUGAUAAGAAGGCCUGGGGGAGAGGCACGGGGUUAUUUAUCCAUUUGUUUGGCAGUAGACAAGGCAAUAAAAGGUGCUCUGCAAAAUGCUCAGCAUAAGGAAACCUGAGUCAGAGACAGCCCCAGCCUCCUUAGCUGUUAUCUGUGCUGCUCUAAGCAACAUAAUUCAUCUGACUUACUGAGAUCUGCUCUCUUGGACGUGACCUCCCUCCUGGGAUGCGCUCCACCCGCCAGGACCUCUCUGACCUCAUCUCCCCUUGCCCAUCCCCAUCUGCAGGCAGCUCCUGGAGGUUCUGCUCCUGCCAGGUCUUCCAUCUAUGCCUGGGACCCCCACUGCAGCCACCUCCCACCUUCAGCUCUUCUUGAGGGUUUCCUAGUCCUCCCUCUGAAAACAGGCUCUGUGGUUUGGGAGUUGCCAAACAAACAGAACCCAAGGGAAGGCUGUGGUUUCUGCUGCUCUUUCACUUACCUAGAGCAAUAAACCACCAUUGGUGCACAGAUGUCACUACUACACAUAGCACAGGACGAAGGCAGCAGGAAGGGUUUGUGGAAGGCCAGGUGUGUGGGCACACGACCCCUGAGAGGGUCUGAGCAGAAGCUGGGACACUCUCCCCAGUGCCAUCCCCACCAACUAUGUCUAAGCAACAGCGAUACAUGAUCUAUAUUAUUAGUGAAGAGAACAGGGCACAGAAGCGGUCAUUAGAGCAGCUUGUUCAUCAUACAAGGAAGAUCACUAUAAGAAAGAUACUGAGGCUCUGGAGUGUGUUCAGGGAAGGGCGAUAGAGCUGGGAAGGGUCUGGAGCAGAAGUCUGAUGGGGAGCAGCUGAGGGAACUGGGAUGGUUCAGUCUGGAGAAGAGGAUCAGGUGUGACCUUAUUGCUCUCUACAACCACCUGAAAGGAGAUUGUUGUGAAGUGGGGGUUGCCCUCUGCUCCCAGGUAGCAGCAACAGGACAAGAGGUGAUGGCCUUAAAUUGCACCAGGGAAGGUUCAGGUUGGACAUUAGGAAAAACUUAUUCGUAGAAAGAGUGGUCAUAGAGUGGCACAAGCUGUCCAGGGAGGUGAUGGAGUCACAGCCUCUGGAUGUAUUCAUGAACUGUGAAGAUGUGGCACUGAGGGAAGCGGUUGGUGGGCAUGGUGGGGAUGCUUUGAUGGUUGGAUCAGAUAAUCUUAGAUAUCUUUUAAUGAUUCUAUGAUUCUAUGAUCUCUUGCUAUUCUUUGCAAGUUCUACAGCACUGAGGUCAGUGUCUAGCAGGGAUGGGUCCAGGUAAUGCAGUGACUGUACCUAUGGUCAGAACAUUAAACUGGUGCUCUUGUGCCUUUUCCCAGAGCUGAGUGGUUUUACGUGAUGGAAAAGUGUAAGAAAACACCGCUGUGCUAAGGCACAAGCCUUCCCACCACAAUGGGCUGCAGGAGUAAAUGAGACAGUUUUCAGAAAGAAGUAAAAUCUUACAUAUUUGUCCUGUAGGGCUUGGUGGGUGUUUUCCAUCUGCAUCAGCUUGUCUGGUAAAACCCACUACCUUUUUCUCCACAAAAUGUCUUUUCCAGACAGAUAUGCUGUACAACUCCCACAGCUCCUAUGAAUUAUGAGACUAAUGGAGCAAUCCCCAGCAUUUGAUAUGUGGGAAAGCAGCAAGGUAUUGCAACAUCUCCCACUAUAUUCUUUGCAUUCUGGGGAUGAACACUGCUAUAAAACCUAUCUAUCCUUCUCCUUACAUACAUACGUGCUCCUUCUUUGCAAGGCCUGCAGUCACAGAGCUGCAUGUCCCAGCCUUCCUUGCAUUUGGCAGCACGAGGAACAAAACCGACAGUCACUUCCAUUUGAGAACACAUCGUUGGUCCUUUCACAUCCCCUUUGUAUCAGGGAUUUCCACGUGCUCCCAUGGGAGCUGGACUGUGCAGCAGCUGAAGCAGCUCUGUGUACCAGAGUUUAAUGACAGUGAGUGUUUACAGUGCAAUUCACAGUGGAAGUCCAAAAGAAAGGAAUUAGGGAGACACAGAGGAGUGAGGUCAGGGUUUUUUUGUUCCUGAUGGGCACAAGUCCACAAGGUUAGCUAGAAUUAUUUUUAAAAUAUUAAUCACUUUCAUUGAGUUGGGGAAAAUACAGGCCAGGCUUGUCCCUGGGUUGAAUUUUGCCUUUUGAAACUUAAAUAACAAAAAUAAUGUCAUGUGAGUUUACCAGCAUUCAAAACCUCAUCAGACUCUGAGUCGUGUUGGGUUUUCCUGGUACCUGUGAAGAUGAAAUUUAUUCAUGAGGUCAGAAUCAAUUAAUUUUCCACAUAACAGGACCAUACUUGAGCAUCUGCACCAUACUGGAAUGUCCUUCACGUUUUGUGGUUUUGAGGAAUUUGAAUACCUGCUUAAAGAAAAUGUAUGUUUCCCAAGAUGCAUUAUUAUCACGUUUUUAACCUUUAGAUACACUGAGCUGUUUCAGAGCCCGCAGCUGUUGUGGUUGUAUGGCCACAACCGUGUAAGUACAAUGGACUGGAAAACAUAAAAGGAAACAUUUUGUGCUUCAGAAAGUUGAAAAAUGAAAUGAAAAUGCAAAGAGAACUGAGAAAGAAAAGGGUUAACCGUUUAAAGGGUUGAGUUAAACAAAGCAUAUCUGUGCAAGAGCCUCCCCAAGGAAGCGGCUGAGACCACAUCUCUUGGAUCAUUUAAACCUGGACUGUACAAAGCAAUAGAGAAAAUUCUGCAGGGAACAAUCCUUCACUGGCAGGUGGGAUGGACUCAAUGACCUAAUAAGUGUUUUCCAUCUCUAAGUCUAUGGGAUGAGUCUAUAACUAGUGCGCUACAGCUUUGCCCAGAGUUCCCAUGUGUUGGCUAUAAGCAGAUCCAAGCUGCACCCAACUGUGUGUUGUUUGAGUUAACUGUUUACGUGGUUCUUUUGCCACCACCUGGUUUCUUUUUCAGCAGAUUCUCUACACAAACAGAUGAUUCUUUUAUACUCCUUUUUUUUUUUUUUUUUUUUUUUUUUGGUAUGUAAAGCAUGUUAAAUCACAUAAUGUACCAUUAUGUUUCCUUAAAAUAGAGCAGGAGUGCAGGAAACUUCCUCUUUCUCCCCCCUUUCUGAUAAUGACCAUCUGAAUGUCAUCGUGGGAAGGAAUUAGGCUGCCGAGCUCCUUGCCCAGUUGUCCAUCGGGGUGGUCCCAGCAUCUCCUCAACCAUAUGGCAGGAAACCUCCCGUCUUCUACAGGUGUGGUGUGGCACAGGCCAGAGCCCUGCAUGUCCCAUGUGGCAUGUGCUCACCUCGCCUCACUAGUGACGGGUUUAGGUCUCAGAGCUCAAAGUGCAUUUUCUGUAACUCCCAGGUUUCUGAUGGAUAAACUGGAUGCUGUCUGAUCUCUGUGCCCAAUCUCAAAUUCACAAAGGGAAAGGCACCAAGGAUGCACAAAUAGCAAUUUCUGAGGCUACCAACAAGCAUGUAGGCAGGGAAUGCAGCUUGGAGAUGGGAUCUGUGAGGCCCUCUGCCUCUCCAAGGUCUUCCAAGGAAGCCACCGGCCCUGGCCAGUCCUGUCCCUAAUCCCACCGUGUUCAUCCCGGGCAUGAAGAUGUUCUGUGGGAGAAGUCAUGGUAAGCCGUGGUGGAAUGGGAUGGCUUCUCACACUGGAAGGGGAUGUAGGUAUGCAGCUCACCAAACUGCGGCCCCACUCCUUCCUAUUGAAAAUCUGUUUUCCAAAGAAUAACCCAGUCCCAAGGAGAUACAGCUCCUGCUGAGCUCUGUGGAUAUCCUCAGGAAGGGGGAAGAAGACUUGGCCUUCUUCUGAAGGUCUGCUUUGCCUGUAAUAUCUAGCAGCCUGUAAUAUCACGUAUCUGCUGCUUCUGUCAUGGCAAAGGACUGUACCAUUCACUUCACAAAGCUGAAAUCUGAAGAAGUUAAGGGUUAGUUCCUAGUUCAUAAAGGUAAGUACGAACUGAGGUCCUCCUCAUUUCAGGGAGAUUCAGUGCUCAGGGCUGCAUGGCGAAGUUCCACCUGAGCCCCCGUGCACAGCUGGUUAAGGUAUCUCUGACAGUUCAGAGCCAGCCAAAAGGCAAUACUUCAGUGAUAUGUAAGUGGCUCACAGGAUAGGUGCCUAAACACGUUAGCUGUGUUAGAAGUGAGCUCCAGCUGCUGGGUGUGGGGACACCUAGGGGCUCUGGCUGAGCAGAGGAUGGAUAUCCGUGCCUGGGUGAGGAGCAGUCAAGAUAUACCCACAGGCUGUGACACCAAGAGGGAAGGAUGGAAAAGCCCCAGGAGAUCUCCUGGUGAUGCUACUCUGAACUUAGCUCAGAGCCCUCCUUCCUCCUCCAUGCCCCGAGGUGAGAUAAGCUGGGCUGGACCGACAGCAAAGCACGACAUGCUUAGACACAGCAGCAAAUAGAAGCUGGAGAUAAAGCAGUUCCUCACUCCUACUCACCCACCUGACUUGAAGAAGGAAAUGAGGAUGUAACAUGCAGUUGCUUCCUGUUGAGACCUAACGUCCAGAUAGCCCAUGCUGGAGGUGAGCAUGCAUGUGGUAAGGCAAUGCUUGUGCAGACAUGAAACCCAAGUCCCCUCCUCAUCUGCUGGGUUCAGUGACACUGUGGGAGGAGGAAGAAUUUGCCCUGGCAUGAAGCACUGUGCCAGAGCCCACACACUCCUUUCCAGAUUCUAAUUUUCCUGCUCCCAUGGCAGGACCCUGCAGCUAGCUCUGAAAGAGAUGGAUGCAUUGGCUGAUGAUUUGUAUGGAUGCAUUGGUAAUGGCCUUUGAGCCAUGUGCUGUGUUCCCCAUCUGCUAAGGUGUGAGUAAAGAGGGUCUGCUGCUGCUGCUUUGCUUAGGUUGUGUCCUUGCUGCCCUGUGACACAGGUUUGGGCUGCUGGGAAGACCUCUCUGACAUCACUAACACAGUGCUGUGGGCACUCUAAGCUGACGAUCAGUGCCACAGCACUUGCUGGGGUCCCUGGGGCAGUGAGAACCCCUCACCCACCAGGAGAGCCCCUGCUGUGCUGAUCCCUAGGAGGAAUUGUCAUCCUUCCUGCUUUACAGGCCGCAACACACACACAGGCUCACAGGCAAAGGAAAUCUGGUCGGAAUGAACAUGCUAGUGAUGUUUGGUUGGCCAAACAUUGGUGGCUGGGAAGGGCAAGGGAUCAGGGCAAGGGAAUCCUGGUUUGUAACAACCCCCCUCCUGCUCCAUACCCCGGCUGACUCCUGGUCACAAACCCCGUGGUUGUGUGAUGUUUCUCCAUGGUGACUCACUGAUGGCAGAGCUCCGCUAUGUGCAGCACACACAAGGCAUGGGUCUCUCGCUCAGUACAGUAAAUUUCCCUUCAGAGCUUUUCAGACCUUUUAAAUAUUUGUUGUGAUUGCAGUACUAAUUAAAUUCAGCUGUUGCAGGUAAUAUAACUCCUAACAGACUUUUUUUUUUUUUUUAAAUAUAUUUUUUUCUCCCUUUUAGGGGGCAAGUGAGCAGCACUCAAAGUAUACGCUCUGUCCGUGGGGAUGGCUGCUGGCAGCCAUGCAGAGCUUGGGUUGAACUCUGAAGUCACUUCUCCACUCACACCAGUUUGCUGGUGCUUCUUAGGAAAGGAGCACAUCACUGUGCUGGGAGGACCCCCUUGACUCCCUGAUCUGACUGGAGUGAAGGGUCAUUGCAUCCGUCCUUGGGGUUCUUCCCAUACUUGUGUUGGGCCCAUCUGACUGCAGCAGCAUCACUUCCCCUCUCCUUCAUAAGGGCUAUCCACAGCAAACUCGUUCAACAUCAUUGUUCAGAUUUGUGGGCAAACUGAGAGGAAGAAAAGUUGGUGUAGUACGUGCAAACUGUGUUGUUGUGGCCUCGUUCUAAUGUUGUCUAUGUGUGAGGCUCAGGGCUCGCUGGUGCUCACCUUUCAGGCUGUCAAGGAGAAUUUCUGCUUGUCAGAAAUGAUGCGAAACGCCCUCUCUGUGUGUCCUCUGAUGCUUUGAAUUUUAAAGCGUAGCCCCAGGGUGGUAUAUUUAAAACAUGACCUCGGGGAAGCUGGUCCAUUGCAUUUGUAAGCUAAAGGAGAGCGCUCGGGAUGACAGCGAUAAAUAGACAUUAGGGUCGGUGUGGUCACACCGAGGUCAGGUGUCCCCCCAGGAUUUGGGCCAGUGUUGCAUUUCCCAGUUCAAACCCAUGCCUGCUCCUUUGUGCUCAUCCCAUCCGCUCCUCCAAAUGGGCGCUGUGGUCUCCUGACGUGGGCACCCCACUACUGGAGGCAGAGACCUGUGUUCCCACAUCUGCACACAGCGCCUUGAUCUUCAGAGGCUGGAGCACCUGCGAGCCCCACCGCUGCCAGUGGGACCUGUGAGCGAGCAGAGCCUUUGAAAACACCCAACCGCGGAGUUAAGAGAAUAGAGAUUGCGAUGAUAGACCAUGAUUGAGUUAUUGCAACUUAAUGAGGUACCGCUCAUCUGCCAAGCCACAGCAGCCCUGUGUGUGCAUGCACGCACAGCCCUAUUCAUCUGAGCAGUAGGAUUUAAACGAGAAUGGUUCCUGUGGAUUUGCACUGGUUUGGCAGCAGUCCUGAGGCCAGUUACCAGGCCCUGCUGAUAAGUGCAGUAUGGGGAGCUGAGAGCACGGGGCUGGGAGCAGCUCUGCUCAGCGCAGCAGGCAGAGCAGGGCUGGGGCUAAGCAGCCGGUGCAGGCAUCAGGCACCCCGGCCCCUGCCUUAUUCUGGCUUUUGGAAGGAAGUAAUGGGCUGGGAGAGAGACAGAGCUCGUCUGGAAAUGGGAGUGGUGUGCACCUGCGUUUAGCGACGUGUCCCAGAGAGUGUGACUGCAUGCUAAGCCAGCACACUGAGCGCUGAGGGCUGCUUCCUGGUGCUUCCAGCGCUUAAGUUUGGCCUCAGGAGGUCAAUUAUGCUGAUGAAGAGUGAGAGGCCUUUUGUGAGAGCUGGUCCUGGCGCCUUAGGACAAUUUUCCUUCAGUAUGGAUCUUAGCUUUUGGUUGAAGUCCAUCCACAAGUGGAACAGGCAGGGAAAUAGCUUUCUGCUCUUCCUUUCAGGUCCCGCAGCACUUGGCUCUCCAGCAGCAGCUCCAUACAGUCAUCACACGGAGAGUCGGGGAAAGCAGGACCUGUCUGGAUAAUAAGCCAUCAUUUCGUCCCAUGCUUAAAAGAAGCUCUCUGUGCUUUGAACAGGCCAAAUAACAUUUUCCCCCAUAAUUUUUUAACUUUGGGCACCUUUGCAAAUUACUCUCCUGGCUGGGAAGGAGCUCAGGAGUGCCAGAACACCAUGGGAAGAGGCUGCUCUGUGAUACUGCCAACCUGCGAAGGAGGAGGAAAUGCUGGAAAUCCCCUAAGCACGCCUGUUUUCUUGAGAUUCCCAACUCGAUUUUGCAAACUCAGAAGAUUUUAUAUAAUUUGGUUUAGUCGGUUCAGAGGUCUAAGGCACUUGGCUGUGCAUCUGGAUUGCAUCUUUGGGGUGGGUUAUCCAAAAAAGUACUCAGAACAGUAUGAAAUUCAUCCUUCGCUAGCAAAGCUGAAGGAAAACAAGAGCACGGGAAGGGAGUUUCUUCUCUCUGCUUGCUGUGCUGGACGCUGGGUGUGAACCUGUGAUCCGUGCCUCUGCCACCAGAUGCUGUGCCUUGUGCCAGCAGAGGAGACAUCAGCCCGCUGACCACCUGUCUUCAGAGCAAGAAAAAAAGGAAAAGAGAGAGAAUUUGAAAAUAAAUCUCUCAUCUGAUGUGCAAGUGCAGCAAGCACAGUGAUGACACACAAGCUACAGGGCUUUAUUCAGGCUUCCCUGUCUGAUAAUGUGGGCCUUAAAAACCCCUGACAUGAAAUGAUUCAGGUUGAAAAGUGCAAGUCAAUCCAAAACAGAAACAAAGAAACUUAGUGUUAACGGCCCUUUCAUUUUAUCACCAUAGAAAAGGGUUGCGUAUUGAUGCGACAGUGCCCACGGAAGCCCAGAGCCCAUCUGCAGGUGGUGCUAACCCAGAGCUGUCCCACAGCAUUGGCAGCCACCAGCACCUCGCGGGCUGGGCUGGGCUGGGCUCUGCCUGCAGGCGGCUGCGUUCGGCGGUGGGUGAAACGAGUCCUCUGUUUUGAUGGGCCAACUCUUCCCUUUAGAUGUCUGUGCUCACCUCCCAUUAACUUUGGUAUGAGCUGAGCUCAUGCUUCCAAGAGCGAAAUUUGGCUUAUAAUUUCUGCAUGCUUCGGGAUCCUUUGGGUACCAUAUAAAUGUAACAUGCUGUGAUUCAGUGCUAAAGAGCAGAGAAAAUUCAACCCCCCAGGAGAUACAGUGAGAGAAAAUCAUAUAGAACCUUUGUUUAAAAUAAUAAUGAAAAGAAAAAAGAAAGAUCAAGAAAAACAAUUGAGAUUCAUUCCAAAGCUGAGUUCAUUGCACAGCGAGGACAGAACGCACAUCCCUUAUCCAGCGAUAGCUUCUUUGACAUGGAUGAGUUAGGGCCCAUUGGACCAGGCCCCAGUUUUGAAGGCAUUAUUGAAAAUGUCUUACCUCCUAUAUUUCCUGUUUUUUAAUCAAACUCACUGUGCUGCCAGAGGUGUUUCAUUUACCAGGAGAGGGGUCAGCGAGGCAGCCACGAGCAACAGGAAAUAAAGCACCGUGCGGCCCCUCCCUGCCUGGACGCGGGCUGGGGCCAGCAGUGCUGAGCUCGGUGCUGUCUGCCUGUACCAUGGCAUCCUACAGCCAACGUGGGCACUGGGGGUCUGCCUGCUGGCUCUGCCAUGCAGCCCUGCGCCAACAGCGAACGGUGCAUACAUCCUCGAAUUUUAUUUUCUAUCUACUGCCGUAGUUUCUUGGCUUGUUGCAACUGUCAUAAAAUUACUUUAUUAUAUUUUCCCAUCUGUUAUGUUUUUGCUUCUUUAGAGGGGGAUGUUGCGUGAUGCUUAUAGUCUAAUUUAGCUUUAAACUUGUAUGGCUGUUGUUUAUGGAAAACGAACGUUGCAUUUGCAGAAUAACCUGUGGCUUUCCUGUAGAACCAAGGAGAAUGUCUGCAGGCAGCAAACAUGGAUGCAACCAGAUGGACAGGACUGCUCAUUGCCUCCUGCCCCAACUCCUCUGCUUUGAGUUGUGGCCUUGGCCAUGGCCAGUGGAGUUCUAAUUACUCAUUAAUUUAGCUAUCCUCCUGCAUUGCCCAGCUAAGGGCUCUCCAUCACCACUUUCACCACUGUUGAAGCCAUUCAUUCAGUCUUAGCUUGAACAACCUAAGUCUUAGAAUAAUUUGUUCUUUAACAAAAAGCGCAGAGAACAGAGCGCUGCUCUGCCCACCUGGCUUGUUUUCCGCUCUCCUCUUUGCCUCCAGUCUGACUGCUGGUUCUCAUGGUCUGCCUGAGCUGGAGAGUAAUCCCAUCCACUCCCCUGCUCACAUUGUUGUUUUUUUUUCCUGUAAUUUGUACUGCUAGUGUAUAUUAAAGAUUUUGUUCUGUUAAACUGUUGAGACUGUUAGAUGAAAUCCAGCAUUUAAUCUGGGAGUUUGGCGAUACCAAAGGAUUUCUGAACACACAAAAUCCUGCUCUAAGAAGAAAAAAGUGAAGUUUGAGAAUCCUAUUUAUGUACCUCCACUGAGUCUCUCCUUCCUGCCCUGAGUGUAUUACACUGUGCUUCUCAAACACAAUUUUAUCUCCAGGAGAGGAAGCAAUAACUGUUCUUAUCAGUGGACCAGAACCUACAUCAUGCACAUGGCAUGAGGCAAAGAAAUCCCAUGCACCUGCAACUGGCCACGACUUUGGCACAAACAGAAGCAGAGAGAGCACACGUGUAAGGAGCUGAGUCAAGGACUUUGAGCAACGAUGUGACUGCUGUCUAUCAGGAUCUUGUGAAUAACAAGGCAGCUGGGGUGUGACUUCAAAAUAUAACUGUGACAUUUGUGGACAUCAUAGGCAAUUAGUUGUUUUUCGAUUGCGGUUGUCUAACUGGAAAGUAUGGGUGAAGUUUCAGCCUCUACAACGGUCCAACUGUUUGACAUCAACAGUUUCGAAAAAGGGACUUUUACUGUAUAAAAUGAUUAUUCCUAUCUGUAGAUUGUAGUAAAAGAAAAAUCCAAGGCACGAUGUGAAACUGAUGCCUGAGUAGAGCUGUGCAAGAUCGCUUCGGUGGCAGCUCUCUUGGCUUCCACCUCUGUGCCAUCAGUGCUGCACUUCUUGUGGAUGCUGUCCUUCAGGAUUAAGAAGGAAUAAAGAGAAUCAGACACAGAAUCACUGCCUGUGCUGGAAUUCAGCUGGUGAAGACCUCAAAAUGAACUGGCAAGGAGGUUGCAUUUGAACUCUGCAGCCCCUAUGUUCAAUUCUUUAUUAACUUUUUCAAUAUGUUCUAUUACGGUCACAAUAUGGGAGCUAUCUUGCAGCUAAUUUAACACCUGUAAAUUCCCAUGGCUGGUAAUGAAACAUUGCAUAGACUAGUGGAUGAAGCAUUUGCUUCAUAUAUCUAAGGUCAUUAGUUCAGUACUCGUUAAUGCUGUAGCUUUUAUUAAAAUUUCUUUUAGUUUUGGUUUUCUUUUUGCAUCAGCCCCUUACAGGCUGAUUAAUUCUUCUCCUUCCCAAAGCUAAACACAAAACAUGAGCAUCUGACCCAGAGCACUGGGGCUAAACUCUGCACUGAAGUCUUGAAUUAUGCUGCCUGAGGUUAUCCUUUCAAAGCCUCCCCGGCUGCCAUGAGGGUGACAGUGUGACACCAGGGGACACGUCAUCGUGGCCAGGUCAUGGUGACACAAGUGACACUGCUGUUGGCACGUUCCGUUCCCUCUGCCCAGCCUGCGCUGUGUCAUCACUGCUGCGGCUGAGAAAAGCAGAGGCAGUGAGCUCCGGCCCUGCAGCUGGUGUUGCUGGAUGUUUUCUAUCCAACCUGACCCUUUCUCAACCCUGACAUGGGUUGGGUCCACCACAGUAGCCAACUUUUCAAAACACAACCAGCACAAAGCAACAUUAUCAUGAAAGUAAGCGGCUUCUGGAGAUGAAAUCACAUGAGCCGUGCAUCCAAAUGCGAUGCUGCAGCUUCUGGGAAACGCUGAGCGUGCGCUUCUUCACCUUGCAAGCUCUUGGCAUGCGUGCUGUUUAUCAAAAUAACAGCUCAUUGAAAUACAGCCCAAAGGACUGCCAGGAAGGUUGAAUGAAGCACUGUUGUUUCCAGCACACCACGGUCUCCAUUGGUUUCUCCAGAGGAGGGAAGUGCGUGGGCUCCAGGAACGCACCCCAUGCCCAAAGCCCACCUGGUUCUGCCUGCACGUGGAGCUGCCAUGGGACUGCGCCUCGGCCAGAUCUGGACAUUGCUUUGUUAGCAAAGUGCCACCUGCCAGGAGUCUGCCCCUGGGGCAUCAUUCUGGUCAUCCACAGGGAAAAGAAAUGCUGGAUGUACUCCUGACACCAUUAAUUUGAUCUGUAAACAAGCUAUGCUUUUUAUUAACAACUUCAUGCUGCAGAAUGUUAUAAGGUAUGUGCUUCUUUGUAAGAAACGCAUGCUGUUUUAUAUUCAUAUCCGUGCCUGCCUUAUAGCUGGCUUUGUGACGCUACUCAUUAAUUCAGGAUUGAAAUGUCUUUCUCACUCUAUGACAUUUAGGUGCCUGAUAUUUUUUACAAAGCUUAUUAAAACUCAGAUUUGUACUUCA
ensembl:lncRNA